ACUCGGGGAUAGCCUUUCGAAAGAAAGAUUAAUACCCGAGGGCAUAAUGAUUCCGCAUGGUUUCAUUAUUAAAGGAUUCCGGUAAAGGAUGGGGAUGCGUUCCAUUAGGUUGUUGGUGAGGUAACGGCUCACCAAGCCUUCGAUGGAUAGGGGUUCUGAGAGGAAGGUCCCCCACAUUGGAACUGAGACACGGUCCAAACUCCUACGGGAGGCAGCAGUGAGGAAUAUUGGUCAAUGGGCGGUAGCCUGAACCAGCCAAGUAGCGUGAAGGAUGAAGGCUCUAUGGGUCGUAAACUUCUUUUAUAUAAGAAUAAAGUGCAGUAUGUAUACUGUUUUGUAUGUAUUAUAUGAAUAAGGAUCGGCUAACUCCGUGCCAGCAGCCGCGGUAAUACGGAGGAUCCGAGCGUUAUCCGGAUUUAUUGGGUUUAAAGGGAGCGUAGGUGGACUGGUAAGUCAGUUGUGAAAGUUUGCGGCUCAACCGUAAAAUUGCAGUUGAUACUGUCAGUCUUGAGUACAGCAGAGGUGGGCGGAAUUCGUGGUGUAGCGGUGAAAUGCUUAGAUAUCACGAAGAACUCCGAUUGCGAAGGCAGCUCACUGGACUGCAACUGACACUGAUGCUCGAAAGU
rnacentral:rRNA from 1 species